CCUACGGGAGGCAGCAGUGGGGGAUAUUGCACAAUGGGGGGAACCCUGAUGCAGCGACGCCGCGUGGGUGAAGAAGCGCCUCGGCGCGUAAAGCCCUGUCAGCAGGGAAGAAAAUGCCGGUACCUGAAGAAGAAGCCCCGGCUAACUACGUGCCAGCAGCCGCGGUAAUACGGAGGGGGCAAGCGUUAUCCGGAUUUACUGGGCGUAAGGGGGGCGCAGACGGCGAUGCAAGCCAGGAGUGAAAGCCCGGGGCCCAACCCCGGGACUGCUCUUGGAACUGCGUGGCUGGAGUGCAGGAGGGGCAGGCGGAAUGCCUGGUGUAGCGGUGAAAUGCGUAGAUAUCAGGAGGAACACCGGUGGCGAAGGCGGCCUGCUGGACUGCAACUGACGUUGAGGCCCGAAAGCGUGGGGAGCAAACAGGAUUAGAUACCCUUGUAGUC
rnacentral:rRNA from 1 species